UGUCCGCCGGGAGGGAAGUCAACACAGGGAGUGGACCACAGCUUGGAGGAUACUCAGCAUUUUCAAGAGGGGAGGUGUCGAGCGACCCAAAUGGAGAAGGAGGCGAAGCGAGGGGACAGCCAAGGGUCGAAAAUAUAAUUUCAACUUCAGGGGGACACAACAACCCCGAAAUUCUCUUCAAGCCUGGACUCUUGGGAAAGGGAGUUAGUGGAGUCUGGAAGUCUUAAGGAGGCCUCAGCUGCUGAUGCCCGUUACCCCUCAGAGUGCACAGAUUGUAGUCCCCCAGCUGUCAUCAGGGCUCACCCCUGCCAUCUAGAAGCACCUUCUAUAAAACCUGCCCACCAGAAACAACAACACCCUCUCCAGCUCUUAAUGAUUUUAGCAGCUAAUUCACUUUUAGCCUGCUUGGUUAUUUGGUAUGGUUGUUGGGAUGGGGAGGAGUCAAUAAGUUUGAUGGAAGACACAAGAUGUCCCAAGAUAACUUCUCUAGUAUGCAUCAGCAACCCAAGAUAGAGCUUUCCAAACAUCUGUGAAGCUUCAAUAUAAAACCCCUUCAUCAUAAACAUGCUACUCCAACUCAGAUAUGAAAACAUUCCUGUCUGACGCUUCACAAGCUAUGCUAAUGAGUAUCUUUUCAAGAGCGCAACAGGGAAGACGUGCCAACCAUGAGGGAGGAGACAGGCACUCCAAGGAGAGGUGAAAAGGUCUUACGGUGAAACACUUCUCAAUGUGUGGCUGAGGAAAUUACCAUGUUUUUCUUCGAUAGCAUAUGUUUUCUAGCUGAUAAAUAACAUGCGGCCCUUUUUUUUUGUAAAAUUUUGGUGGGGUCAUUUUUUAAUCCUAUCUUAAGUUCAAGUUGUAACUAUGACUAAAAUGACACAUAAAGGGAAAGUGAUUAGUACAGAGUGGCUUUCCUGUGUCUAAAUAUAUUGAAAAACUAUUUGAGGCAUUAGUCAUUGGUGUCUUAUAACAUUAAGAGACAUAGGUAUGGGUCACUGUUUUCAAGAAUAGCGCACCUAGUUUUUUGUUCAACCAAUGGUUUGCUUCUCACAGGCCACCUAUCUCAUAGAUACAGCCUAU